rnacentral:lncRNA from 1 species
CCUCAUUUUCUUGGAGGAGAGCUUCAUGUUCAUGGUAACCUAAAAUCCACCUGUAAAUUCCAAACAGAUGUUAACCAACAGGCAGCUACUUAGUUCAAUUAUGACAUAUAGUCUGCCAGGCAAUAAAGUAAGGAAGUAGACCAUACUGUUAGUCCCUGGGAUUCCUGCACAGGUAAGCAGUAAGCUUACCAGCACACCCACACACUCACUCACUAUGGCUAGAGGUAGAAGAAGGGGUUGAGCUCAAGCACACACACAUAGCACAAGCACCAGCGCUGGCCAGAGCUCUGCUCUUUGGUUUGUGGCAACUGAACUGAAAAAUACAUUACUAGGGCUGCACUUAUAUACACAAAGGGGUAGGUUUAGUUUGUGUAUGAACUGAAGCUACUGAAGGUGGGCUGCUGUACUGCAGUCAGUCUACUAUCCUAGCUGCAGGAUAAGCCUGCAAUACUUAUUAGCUAAGGACACAAUGGCCUACCAAAAAUCUGUGUCCUCACUACUCCUAGUCAAGUGUUCCCACUACAGCUUGACUGCUGUUCAACCUUUCAAAGCUGGUCUUUAGUUUCACAUUUCUAGUCACCAAGCUGCAGCCUUGACUGAAGAUUGGUCUGCAGUUGCAGACUUCUUUGCAAGUCCAGCAGCAAAUUAUUCAACACAUACACAAUAUUUCGAGUUUCGGAAACUCCACUCUAGACCUCUUUUUUUUUCUAAACCAUGGUUUUGCACAUCUAUAAGUUCUAAAACUAUAGUUUCAAGUACCAUAUUUUUAAGUAUUGAGCAUCCAAACAGGGUCUAGGUAUUCUUAAGUGAUAGGAUGAGAAUU